rfam:Aedes albopictus isolate Foshan contig41274, whole genome shotgun sequence.
UAUUCUGUGGCGGAGUUGGUUAACGCGCCUUGUCUAGCGAACUUGGGGAGACGUGGGUUCAAAGCCCACCAGAACUA